UACUGCCUUCAUUCUCUAUUAUAUUCAGAAUUAUAACUUGAAUGGCAAUUGCUUUCUUCAGAAAGACUCAAUCAAAAAUCAGAGAACUAAAGAAAUUUGAAAUAAUCAAGAGAAAAGAACCUGCAGUGAAAAUUAGAUUUUGAAACUCUGGAUGAAUGGAUUGCAAGUCUUUCUGAUUCUGACGUAGGUGAGUUCCUUGCCUGUCCAAUGCCCUAAGAUUCAUAAAGAACACACCCGUAAGAUUAAACCAUGCCACGUAAGUCCAAAGUAGGCGAGUUCCUUGCCUGUCCAGUGCCCUAAGAUUCAUAAAGAACACACCCGUAAGUUUAAACCAUGCCACACAAGUCCAAGAUGAAGAUGUAUAAUGUUAUUGACGUACUGUAAGUUUCACUUGGAAUUACUUUUUUGUGCAAUAGACAUCAUGAAUUUAAUAUGUAGUUAUCAAUCGUUAGCACACCCUUUUCUUUAGGGGUGAUUUACUCUCUUUCUCUUUUAGGUAUUCCAACAUGGGACAAGAGAAGAUGGCUUGUUCCAAGGAAGACAUGAUCCCUCAUACUGGUGCUACAAUAAAGAGAUAACAAUUUACCUUUAAUAAUACAGUUAAUGGUGCGAUAGCAUCAAUAUGCAUAUCAUUUUGGAUAUGCUGCACCAUGAGCAUCCUCCAUCUAGAUCUCCUUAUGGAAACCGACACAAGUCAAUUAUCAUUUUUUUAAAGCAUAAAAGUUUCACUUCCUUCUAUUUUCCUUCUGUGUCUCUCUUCUUUCAAGGGAGAGCAACUUACUCUCAAAUGAAUCAAGAAGCUAAAAGCAAGUCAAUUUUUUUUUUUCAAAGUAGAAGUUCACUUCUAUUUUCUUUCUUUUUUCUAAGCGUAAAGCUUCUUACUCUGUUAUGAACCAAGAAGCUAACAAGAACUAGGCUCACCAAUCUCAAUUACCUUCAAGGAAAGCAAUGACAAAAGAGAUGGCAUUCUAACAUGAAACACAUUUAUGCUUAAGAAGGCACAUGCACAGACAUCAGAGCUAUGUUUCUCGGACUCUCCAAAAAUGUCGUUGGGUGCGUGUCGGAUCCUCCAAAAGUAGUGCAUUAUUGGAGGAUCCGACACGAGUGUGGCAGCAUUUUGGAGAGUCCGCAACAUAGCAUCAGAGAGCUAUCUCUGCUUUUGUUUGAAUACAGGGGAAGAGAAGCAAGGAUGGGGAAUGACAGGACUAAAAAGUUAAAAGUUUAUUUGGUCAUCCAAAUGAACCUAGCUUGUUCUCGCCAAAAGAAGCAGCUUUUAGCCACAUGACAGAAUGCAAUACAACUGGUCAGCAAGUAGAAAAUUUCUCACUGUUCCUCUUCUAACUUGUCUAGUAAAUCCCUUUUCUUUCUCUUUUUAAUUUUACUUACUUCGAUUGCUAAAAGAUUCCUAUCCAAAGGAAAAAGGAAAAGAAAAAAAAAGUUCAUGGUUCCAGAAAAGAUAACAGAAACUACUUGGUGAUACCCAAGGAAAACAUACU
rnacentral:lncRNA from 1 species